GACGAACCGAGCGAACGUUGUUCGGAAUCACUGGGCUUAAAGGGCGCGUAGGCGGGCUGCCACGUCCGGGGUGAAAUCCCACGGCUCAACCGUGGAACGGCCCCGGGUACGGGCGGCCUCGAGGAAGGUAGGGGCGUGCGGAACUGUGGGUGGAGCGGUGAAAUGCGUUGAUAUCCACAGGAACUCCGGUGGCGAAGGCGGCACGCUGGACCUUUUCUGACGCUGAGGCGCGAAAGCCAGGGGAGCGAACGGG
rnacentral:rRNA from 1 species